rnacentral:rRNA from 1 species
GUGGGGGAUAUUGCACAAUGGGGGAAACCCUGAUGCAGCGACGCCGCGUGAAGGAAGACGUACUUCGGUAUGUAAACUUCUAUCAGCAGGGAAGAAGAUGACGGUACCUGACUAAGAAGCCCCGGCUAACUACGUGCCAGCAGCCGCGGUAAUACGUAGGGGGCAAGCGUUAUCCGGAUUUACUGGGUGUAAAGGGAGCGUAGACGGUGAAGCAAGUCUGAUGUGAAAACCCGGGGCUCAACUCCGGGAUUGCAUUGGAAACUGUUUUACUUGAGUGCUGGAGGGGCAAGCGGAAUUCCUGGUGUAGCGGUGAAAUGCGUAGAUAUCAGGAAGAACACCGGUGGCGAAGGCGGCUUGCUGGACAGUAACUGACGUUGAGGCUCGAAAGCGUGGGGAGCAAACAGGAUUAGAUACCCCUGUAGUCC